rnacentral:rRNA from 1 species
GGGCCCGCACAAGCGGUGGAGCAUGUGGUUUAAUUCGAUGAUACGCGAGGAACCUUACCAGGGCUUAAAUGUAGUCUGACGUACUUGGAAACAGGUAUUUCUUCGGACAGAUUACAAGGUGCUGCAUGGUUGUCGUCAGCUCGUGCCGUGAGGUGUCAGGUUAAGUCCUAUAACGAGCGCAACCCCUGUGGUUAGUUGCCAGCGAGUCAAGUCGGGAACUCUAGCCAGACUGCCGGUGCAAACCGUGAGGAAGGUGGGGAUGACGUCAAAUCAUCACGGCCCUUACGUCCUGGGCCACACACGUGCUACAAUGGUAGGGACAGAGAGCAGCCACUUUGCGAGAAGGAGCGAAUCUUCAAACCCUAUCACAGUUCGGAUCGUAGGCUGCAACUCGCCUACGUGAAGGCGGAAUCGCUAGUAAUCG